UCUUUCUACCACAGGAUUUUUCUGGCUAUUCCACAGUUCAGUUUUUUCCAUUCUUUUCUGAACUAGUGUAUUGAAUAGCCAGCUUCGACUGAGGGAGAGACCCCCUCGGGGUACCCCGGCCUUGUGCCGGGCCCCUCGACUUCAGCCAGAAGCCAGAGUCAUCUUAGGCUUCUGGUUCUGAUCAUCUGGACAUCAGACUUCAUCGGGACAGCAGAUAUCAUCUGGUUGCUGUAGCGCAAGGAAGAUGCCGGCGCUUCGGAUGCUACUCCGUGCCCUGGAGGAUUUCAGGGCA